rnacentral:rRNA from 1 species
CGUAGGUUGUUAUUUAUGUCUCAUGUGAAAGUCAAUGGCUCAACCAUUGAAAGCCAUGAGAAACUGGAUAACUAGAGUACUGUAGAGGGUAGUGGAAUUUCUGGUGUAGCGGUGAAAUGCGUAGAUAUCAGAAGGAACAUCAGUGGCGAAGGCGACUACCUGGACAGAUACUGACACUGAGGCACGAAAGCGUGGGUAGCGAACAGGAUUAGAUACCCUGGUAGUCCACGCUGUAAACGAUGAGUAUUAGCUGUUAAUAAUGAGAGUUAUUAGCGGCGCAGCAAACGCGUUAAAUACUCCGCCUGGGGAGUACGGCCGCAAGGUUAAAACUCAAAGGAAUUGACGGGGGCCCGCACAAGCGGUGGAGCAUGUGGUUUAAUUCGAUGCAACGCGAAGAACCUUACCUACCCUUGACAUCCUAGGAAGAUGCUAGAGAUAGCAUUGUGCCUUCGGGAACCUAGAGACAGGUGCUGCAUGGCU